rnacentral:rRNA from 1 species
CUACGGGGUGCACCAGGCGCGAAACCUUUACAAUGCACGCAAGUGUGAUAAGGGGAUCCUAAGUGCUCAUGCAAUGCAUGGGCUUUUGCCAAGAGUAAAUAUCUUGGAGAAUAAGUGGUGGGUAAGACUGGUGCCAGCCGCCGCGGUAACACCAGCGCCACGAGUGGCAUCCACGUUUAUUGGGCCUAAAGCGUCCGUAGCCGGUUAGGCAAAUCUCUUGUGAAAUCGUCAGGCUUAACCUGACGGCGCGCUUGAGACACUACCUGACUUGAGAACGGGAGGAGUCAGAGGUAUUCCAGGGGGAGCGGUAAAAUGUGAUAAUCCCUGGAGGAUCACCUAUGGCGAAGGCAUCUGACCAGAACGGAUCUGACGGUGAGGGACGAAGGCUAGGGGAGCGAUCCGGAUUAGAUACCCUGGUAGUC